rnacentral:rRNA from 1 species
UACGUAGGUGGCAAGCGUUGUCCGGAUUUACUGGGCGUAAAGGACGUGCAGGCGGUCUGUUAAGUGCAGGGUGAAAGCUCCCGGCUCAACUGGGAGAGGUCCUUGCAUACUGGCGGACUUGAGGGGGGUAGAGGAAAGUGGAAUUCCCGGUGUAGUGGUGAUAUGCGUAGAUAUCGGGAGGAACACCUGUGGCGAAGGCGGCUUUCUGGGCCCUACCUGACGCUGAGACGCGAAAGCGUGGGGAGCGAACCGG